GACGAACGCUGGCGGCGUGCCUAAUACAUGCAAGUCGAGCGAGCUUGCCUAGAUGAAUUUGGUGCUUGCACCAGAUGAAACUAGAUACAAGCGAGCGGCGGACGGGUGAGUAACACGUGGGUAACCUGCCCAAGAGACUGGGAUAACACCUGGAAACAGAUGCUAAUACCGGAUAACAACACUAGACGCAUGUCUAGAGUUUAAAAGAUGGUUCUGCUAUCACUCUUGGAUGGACCUGCGGUGCAUUAGCUAGUUGGUAAGGUAACGGCUUACCAAGGCAAUGAUGCAUAGCCGAGUUGAGAGACUGAUCGGCCACAUUGGGACUGAGACACGGCCCAAACUCCUACGGGAGGCAGCAGUAGGGAAUCUUCCACAAUGGACGCAAGUCUGAUGGAGCAACGCCGCGUGAGUGAAGAAGGGUUUCGGCUCGUAAAGCUCUGUUGUUGGAGAAGAACGUGCGUGAGAGUAACUGUUCACGCAGUGACGGUAUCCAACCAGAAAGUCACGGCUAACUACGUGCCAGCAGCCGCGGUAAUACGUAGGUGGCAAGCGUUGUCCGGAUUUAUUGGGCGUAAAGCGAGUGCAGGCGGUUCAAUAAGUCUGAUGUGAAAGCCUUCGGCUCAACCGGAGAAUUGCAUCAGAAACUGUUGAACUUGAGUGCAGAAGAGGAGAGUGGAACUCCAUGUGUAGCGGUGGAAUGCGUAGAUAUAUGGAAGAACACCAGUGGCGAAGGCGGCUCUCUGGUCUGCAACUGACGCUGAGGCUCGAAAGCAUGGGUAGCGAACAGG
rnacentral:rRNA from 1 species